rnacentral:rRNA from 1 species
AAUGCUCUGUAGUCGAAAGGUCCGCCGCCGUAGGAUGGGUCUGCGGCCGAUUAGGUUGUUGUUGGGGUAACGGCCCAACAAGCCUGUAAUCGGUACGGGUUGUGGGAGCAAGAGCCCGGAGAUGGAUUCUGAGACACGAAUACAGGCCCUACGGGGCGCAGCAGGCGCGAAAACUUUGCAAUGCGGGAAACCGUGACAGGGGAACUCCGAGUGCCCGUAAAAUCGGGCUGUCCAUCAGUUUAAAUAACUGGUGAAGAAAGGGCCGGGCAAGACCGGUGCCAGCCGCCGCGGUAAUACCGGCGGCUCGAGUGGUGGCCACUAUUACUGGGCUUAAAGCGUUCGUAGCUGGUUUGUUAAGUCUCUGGGGAAAUCUUCCGGCUUAACCGGAAGGCGUCUCAGGGAUACUGGCAGACUAGGGACCGGGAGAGGUGAGGGGUACUCCAGGGGUAGGAGUGAAAUCCUGUAAUCCUUGGGGGACCACCUGUGGCGAAGGCGCCUCACCAGAACGGCUCCGACAGUGAGGGACGAAAGCUGGGGGAGCAAACCGGAUUAGAUACCCGGGUAGUCCCAGCUGUAAACGAUGCGCGUUAGGUGUAUCGGUGACCACGAGUUACCGAGGUGCCGAAGAGAAAUCGUGAAACGUGCCGCCUGGGAAGUACGGUCGCAAGGCUGAAACUUAAAGGAAUUGGCGGGGGAGCACCACAACAGGUGGAGCCUGCGGUUUAAUCGGACUCAACGCCGGGAAACUCACCAGGUAAGACAGCUGAAUGAUAGUCGGGCUGAAGACUCUACUUGACUAGCUGAGAGGAGGUGCAUGGCCGUCGUCAGUUCGUACUGUGAAGCAUCCUGUUAAGUCAGGCAACGAGCGAGACCCA